rnacentral:rRNA from 1 species
UCUGUAGGUGGCUUGCUAAGUCAGACGUGAAAUCCCUCAGCUUAACUGGGGAACUGCGUCUGAGACUGGCGAGCUUGAGGGCAGGAGAGGAACGCGGAAUUCCAGGUGUAGCGGUGAAAUGCGUAGAUAUCUGGAGGAACACCGGUGGCGAAGGCGGCGUUCUGGACUGCAUCUGACACUGAGAGACGAAAGCCAGGGGAGCAAACG